UACAGAGGGGGCAAGCGUUAUUCGGAAUUAUUGGGCGUAAAGGGCGCGUAGGCGGCUUUGCAAGUGACGGGUGAAAGCCCUCGGCUUAACCGAGGAACUGCCUGUCAGACUGUGAGGCUUGAGACCAGGAGAGGUGAGUGGAAUUCCCGGUGUAGCGGUGAAAUGCGUAGAUAUUGGGAGGAACACCAAUAGCGAAGGCAGCUCGCUGGGACGUUACUGACACUGAGGCGCGAAAGCGUGGGGAGCGAACAGG
rnacentral:rRNA from 1 species